rnacentral:SRP_RNA from 1 species
CAGGUUAAAUUCUUCGACGCCCACAGCCUUCCAAGUAUUGUGAGAGGCUGUUGAAUUUCCGCUGCCAUGUUGUGAAUCUUGUCAGCUCCUGAGGCCAGCUGCCUGAAUCUGUUGAUUGCAUAUGGC